GCUCCAGUGGCUUAGUGGUUAGAGUGUCCACCUCAGAUGAGGGAGGUCGUGGGUUCGUUUCCCGCUCGGGUCA